rnacentral:rRNA from 1 species
GAUGAACGCUGGCGGCGUGCCUAAUACAUGCGAGUCGAGCGAAUGGACGAGAAGCUCGCUUCGCUGAUGUUAGCGGCGGACGAGUGAGUCACACGUGGAUAACCUACCUAUAAGCCUGAGAUAACUUCGUGAAACCGUAGCUAGUACCUGAUUAUAUUUUGAAACUCAUGGUUCAUCAGUCCACAACGGUCUUGCUGUCACUUAUUGAUAGAUCCGCGCUGCAUUAGCUAGUUCGUAGGGUAACGGCUUACCAAGGCAACUAUGCAUAUCUGACCUGAGAGGGUAAUCGGCCACACUGGAACUGAGACACGGUCAAGAAUACUACGGGAGGGAGCAGGAGGGAAUCUUCAGCAAUGGGCGAAAGCCUGACGCAGCAACGCCGCGUGUGAGAAGAAGGUGUUCGGAGUGUAAAGCUCUGUAAUUAGGGAGGAAGAUAAGUGAGUGUAAAAGUGUGCGGCUUGACGUUACCAAAACAGAAAGCAACGGCUAACUUCGUG